AUACGUAGGGGGCGAGCGUUGUCCGGAAUGAUUGGGCGUAAAGGGCGCGUAGGCGGCGCGGUAAGUCUGGAGUGAAAGUCCUGCUUUCAAGGUGGGAAUUGCUUUGGAUACUGCCGCGCUUGAGUGCAGGAGAGGUUAUCGGAAUUCCCGGUGUAGCGGUGAAAUGCGUAGAGAUCGGGAGGAGCACCAGUGGCGAAGGCGGGUAACUGGACUGCAACUGACGCUGAGGCGCGAAAGUGUGGGGAGCAAACAGGAUUAGAUACCCUGGUAGUCCACACUGUAAACGAUGAAUGCUAGGUGUAAGAGGUAUCGACCCCUUUUGUGCCGGAGUCAACACAAUAAGCAUUCCGCCUGGGGAGUACGGCCGCAAGGUUGAAACUCAAAUGAAUGGACGGGG
rnacentral:rRNA from 1 species